rnacentral:rRNA from 1 species
GACAGAGGGGGCAAGCGUUGAUCGGAAUUACUGGGCGUAAAGGGCGCGUAGGCGGGAUGGCAAGUCGGUCGUGAAAUCCCUCGGCUCAACUGAGGAUCGUCGAUCGAUACUGCCGUUCUUGAGGAUUGCAGAGGAGACUGGAAUUCCCGGUGUAGCGGUGAAAUGUGUAGAGAUCGGGAGGAACACCGGUGGCGAAGGCGGGUCUCUGGGCAAUUCCUGACGCUGAGGCGCGAAAGCGUGGGGAGCAAACGGG